CAAGUCGAGCGGAGAUGAGGUGCUUGCACCUUAUCUUAGCGGCGGACGGGUGAGUAAUGCUUAGGAAUCUGCCUAUUAGUGGGGGACAACAUUCCGAAAGGGAUGCUAAUACCGCAUACGUCCUACGGGAGAAAGCAGGGGAUCUUCGGACCUUGCGCUAAUAGAUGAGCCUAAGUCGGAUUAGCUAGUUGGUGGGGUAAAGGCCUACCAAGGCGACGAUCUGUAGCGGGUCUGAGAGGAUGAUCCGCCACACUGGGACUGAGACACGGCCCAGACUCCUACGGGAGGCAGCAGUGGGGAAUAUUGGACAAUGGGGGGAACCCUGAUCCAGCCAUGCCGCGUGUGUGAAGAAGGCCUUAUGGUUGNAAAGCACUUUAAGCGAGGAGGAGGCUACUGAGACUAAUACUCUUGGAUAGUGGACGNUACUCGCAGAAUAAGCACCGGCUAACUCUGUGCCAGCA
rnacentral:rRNA from 1 species